UCAGAUUCCUGGAAGAAAUCCCAAUGAACAGGGGUCAUUAUCAGGCCACAUUUCUGGUAUCUGUGGUAAGUAAUGAUGUUCACUUUAACCCCAUCACAGACCAUUUGAUCUUCAUAUAUCUAGGUAAGUGAUGUCUGUUUACGUGAACUGUUUAUCAUGUGCUUUUAUAACAGUGAUUUUUGUAAGUAAUGACAGUAUUUCUAGUUCUAGUGACCAUGUUAUAUUGUUUUUAAUUUAGAGAAAACUUAUGGUUUACGCUGUGAGUAUCAAAUGAUUUGCGUGUACACAGAUAACAACGUGGUGUGCUUCAUAGUAGUAACUGUGGUAUCCUUGCAGAUAGGUAGUCAAGAAAAAAUGGUGUGUCCUUCAAGGUUGUAGACCUUGGGAAUACUGCAAAAUUCCAUGUAGAUUUAUGUCUUCUGCAAUGAUGACAGCCAACAAGUUAUUUGCAGGGUUCUGGUGGAAGAGUUGUGUCCACAGACACAUUUGUCAUAAUGUGGUUUCAGGUUCCUCUCAAGGGGUCAUGGGAAACCUCAUCAUGAUCAACAAUGGGACAUUGCUGGUAUCCAAGCCAAUUAUGAUGUGGGCCUUAAACACCCUACAAAAAUGUGAUCUACAGAAAUGUAGGUAACUGUAGAUGGUUUUCCUAAUUUUUGUGUUGCCAUAUUUUGUGCAGGUAUUUAGUUAAGGAAUUAUAUUUUCCCAACCAACGCAGGUAAGCAUCAGUCAUUAUUUUAGAGUUUAGUUAUAAUGUGUUUAGUCUUAUAGUGAGGGAGGGAUAUGCAGGUAUCCAGGUAAGUUUUCCUACUGUUUCCCACCACGUUAUUGACCAUGAGACUUCAACAUCAUCAAGAGAUGAUGGUGCCACUACAUUGUUGACAUUGAAGUCAUGGCAAAUCCAAGUAGUGUUGAAGGUUCCCUGCUGAUGGAAGUGCCCAGAAUUAUUUGUGUCUUGUCUUUUUUUAUGUAAAACAAAUUGUUUCCUUAAACACACUUGAGCAAUGUGUUUUUUAGUUUUCUGUAAUGAGCUCACAAUCAAGCUUAACAAUAGUCAUUAAUGGAACCGUGCUGUAACCUGCUAAUUGAGAAAGUGUGUUUCCCACAAUCAGACCAUUAGAUCUUUAUAUUUCCAUGUAAGUGAGGAUGGUGUCCUUAACACUUGUCUACCAUGUAUUCCUGCAGGUAUCCUGUUAAGUUCUUUCCUAGUAUACAGGUAGAAGAUUAUGUGAUAUUAACACAUUAGCAACCUUCCUAUUUUCAGAUAUGUAGGUGAUUAAUGAUUUUUUUGAGACUCUUCUUGUAACCUUGUGUUUGUCAUGCAUGCAGUUAAGAAAUUACUUUUUCCCUAACAUUACUAGUAAGAGUGAGAUUUUACUGUGUUCUUGUUUAGACAUAAUGUGUAUUUAUCAAUUGUAGUGAUAUAUGGAUAUGCGAGUAUCCAGGUAAUUUAUCAUAUUGUCCAUCACUGUAAUGCUGAGAUUUUUGUAGGUAUCACUUCAAGAGAGGAAAGUUUCUCUUACGAGUGUUUUCCCUUGGCAUUAUGCAAGCAUCCAGUUACCUUUGAUAGGCCCUGAAAUGAUGAAAGAGACGAAGGGAAUUUGCAGGUGUACAGGUAGAAUGAGACAUUUAGGAAACACAUUUUCAACAGUAUAUUUUUUAGGUUCAUUUGAAGAGGUCACAGUGAGCCUAUCAGUAAUAGUUAACAGGGGUCAUUGCUCGUAUGGAUGUGCAUGAUAAUGUGGGCCUAAAACACAGCCCAGCCCAUCUGAUCUUCCCUUAUAUAGGUAAGUGGUGGUGUCCCUAACACUUCUGUUACUAUGAUUUUGUUGUAGCUGUUCAAGUAAGAAAUGAUAGAGCUCUUACCAAUUUAAAAAAACAUUAUUUUUCUCACUUUUUAUAUUUUAGAAUAACUUUAUGAUUAACCUCUGAGUUUUGAGUGAUAGUGCCUAUCCUGGUUAUUGGUGUUUCUUACCACAGCAGUAACCAGGGGAUUUUUACAGGUGUCCUGUCAAGAAAUGACCGUCUUACCUGACAGUGGUAUUGAUCUUGCAUUAUUACAAGUAUCCAGGUAGAGUUUAUGUGUUCUGUAAUGAUGGAGUGACGAAGGUUAUUUUCAGAUGUCUUGGUGGAAAUGUUUGUGUCCUUUAACACAUAUUUCACAAUGUGUAUUUCAGGUUUCUGUAGUGAGACCCUGAUAAACCUAACAAUGGUUGGUAUGGCAGACAUUUCUGGUAUGCAGGCAAGUGAUGAUGUGUUCUUUAACCACAUCAUAGACCAUCAGAUCUUCUUAUAUCUUUUUUUUUUUUUUUUUUGACAGAGUCUCGCUUUGUCACCCAGGCUGGAGUGCAGUGGGGUGAUCUCGGCUCACUGCAGCCUCCACCUCCCAGGUUCAAGCGAUUCUCGUGCCUCUGCAUCCUGAAUAGCUGGGAUUACAGGUGUGCACCACCACAUCCUGCUGAUUUUUGUAUUUUGAGAGAUGGGGUUUUGGCACGUUGGCCAAGCUGGUCUCGAACUCCUGGCUUCAAGCAGUCCACCCACCUUGGCCUCCCAAAGUGCUGGAAUUACAGGCGUGCACCACCACGCCCGGCCAGAUCUUCAUAUAUCUAAGAUCCUGUCAAGAAGACAUGGUAAACCUCAUCAUGAUCAAGAAUGAGACUUUGCUUGCAUCCAGGCAUUCAGUUAAGAAAUGAUGUUUUCCCAACCAAGGCUAGCUUCCCAAAAGUUGUUUGAUAGUAUACAGGCAUGAGAUGGUGUGACUCUAACUCAUUAGAUGCCUUCGUCUUUUCAGUCAUCAUGUGAUGGAAAGAAAGCUAUCAACUUCAUUCCUGAGACUUCCUGCAACACAGAUCCAUCUAAACUUUUACUUCAUUGGAGGGUCCUUCCUGACCCAUGCAACUCAACAAAAAACUCUCACAGUUUUUAUAUGCUUUGUUGGGGAUUAACCCAUCUUGCAUUGCAUUGCUAGCUUAGUAUGUCUAGCAUGGGCAUGCCUGCUGAAGUUUGGAACUUCCCAUCAAGGAAACAGGAAAAUGCCAUUGGCAAUGAGCUGAAGACUGAUUUACUCUACCAGUUUGGAACAUCUGUUAUUGCUGCUACUACGGUUUCUAUCACUGUUUGAUGCUGGGACUCUUAAGCUCCAACCACGUUUUCACCGAGCUGAGUCGCCUUCUUAUCACCCCUUUCUGGAGCAGCAGGACAUCUGGGGAUGAGAAGAUGGAGAGAUCAUCCUUAUAUAAUGUUGCAGUCUGGAAGCAUCACUCUCAAAAAGCCAUUGUAGAGAAUCCAAGCCGAGUUUAAGAGUGCUGUGGAAAUACACUGCUGCUACUGCUGUUUCUAUUACUGUUUGAUGCUGGGACUCUUAUGCUCCAACCACGUUUUCACCCAGCUGAGUCGCCUUCGUAUCACGCCUUUCCAGUUUUGAUAGACUAGAAAAAUGACAAGACUCCAAGUCCUUGAAGAGGAGGAAAAGUGUGAAGAAAACAAAAAAGGGAGAUUUAUGUCUGCUUCACCAUUUUGCCCAAGACUUGACCUGUCAUACACUGAAGCUCAGAGAGGAAGAAAGGACCGUGUGAGAGAAGAAGGGAACAGCCUUUCAUCCAUAGGAGAAGUUCGUCUAUGACAAAGCCACUAGCUCCAUGUGGCCGCUGAGCACUCAAAAUGUGGCCAGUCUGAAUUGAGAUAUGUUGUUAGUAUAAAGUCCACAUCGGCUUUUUGAGCACUUUGUAUGAGAAAAAAGAAUACCAAAUAUCUCCUUAAUAAUUGUUACAUUGAUUAUAUGUUGAACUGAUAACAUUAUGGAUAUAUUGGAUUAAAUAAAAUAAAUUAUUAAAAUCAAAUAAAAAAUAAAAUCAAUUUCACCUGUUU
rnacentral:lncRNA from 1 species